rnacentral:rRNA from 1 species
AACGAACGCUGGCGGCAUGCCUAACACAUGCAAGUCGAACGAGACCUUCGGGUCUAGUUGCGCUCGGGUGCGUAACGCGUCGGAACCUUCCCUUAGGUUUCGAAUAACUCCCCUUCAUGGGUGCUAAUACCGGAUAAUUUCUUCUGACCAAAGAUUUAUCGCCUUUGGUUGGGCCGGCGUUGUAUUAGCUUGUUGGUAGGGUAAAAGCCUACCACGGCGACGAUCCAUAGCUGGUCUGAGAGGAUGAGCAGCCACACUGGGACUGAGAAACGGACGAGAAUAGUAGGGAAGGGAGCAAAGGGGAAUAUAGGAAAAUGGGGGAAAGGAAGAAGGAGCAAGGGCGGGAAAGUGAUGAAGGAGGUAGGGAAGUAAAGCAGUUUAACACGGGAUGAUAAUGACAGUACCGGGAGAAUAAGCACCGGCUAACUCCGUG